rnacentral:rRNA from 1 species
GACAGAGGUGCCGAGCGUUAGGCGGAAUCACUGGGCUUAAAGCGCGUGUAGGCGGCUUUGCAAGUCGGAUGUGAAAUCCCACGGCUCAACCGUGGAAGUGCAUCCGAAACUGCAUCGCUGGAGUCUCGGAGAGGAAGGUGGAAUGCUUGGUGUAGAGGUGAAAUUCGUAGAUAUCAAGCAGAACACCUGCGGCGAAGGCGGCCUUCUGGACG